AUGGUUCAAGAGGAUGUGUUCCAAGUGAAUCAAAAUGGAGAAACAUUGGAGAAGACUAGAAACAAGAUAGACAUAUCUUUCAAGGAUAUGGUCAUGGGAAGAGAUUCUGAGAUCAUGGAGGAAGGAGAUGAGUCAGGAGGCAAGGAAGAAAACAUGGAGAUGAAUAUUCUUGAUCUAGAAAACAUGAAAGUGGAUGAGCAUGUCGAAGGGGGAUAUGUUUGUCCGAAAUUCACAUUUUCAAAACAUGAAGAAUGA